CCCAAAACUCCAAGGACUUGACGGUGUCUCAUACAACCUAGAGGAGCCUGUCCUAUAAUCGAUACCCCACGCUACACCCGACCUUUUCUCGCAUACUCCAACCUAUAUACCGCCGUCGCCAGUUUGCCUCAUGAUAGGCCCUAUAAGCAAACGAAAUACUACUACCACUAACACGUCAGGUCAAGGUGUAGUUUACGAAAAGGCAGAGAUGGGCUACAUUCUCCAAGCCGAGCACACCAACAGCAACAUGAAAUCUAUGUGCCAAAAGGUGGAUUUAGCAGUAAGCCAAGCAAGACAUGCUAGACUGAAGACAGCCCUGAGACGCGUACACACCGCCCGUCACCCUCAUCAAAAUACACAUAACAACUUAACUAAAACUACAAAUAACCAAGCAGAUGAGACAAG
rnacentral:rRNA from 1 species